rnacentral:rRNA from 1 species
UCGUGGGCAAUGGGCGAAAGCCUGAAGCACCAACGCCGCGUGCAGGAAGAAGGCUUUCGGGCUGUAAACCGCUUUUAGCAGGAACGAAAAUGACGGUACCUGCAGAAGAAGGACCGGCCAACUAUGUGCCAGCAGCCGCGGUGAUACGUAGGGGGCAAGCGUUGUCCGGAUUUAUUGGGCGUAAAGAGCGUGUAGGCGGCCAGGUAGGUGGGUUGUGAAAACUGGAGGCUCAACCUUCAGACGUCGACCCAAACCCCCUGGCUAGAGUCCGGAAGAGGAGAGUGGAAUUCCUGGUGUAGCGGUGAAAUGCGCAGAUAUCAGGAAGAACACCCGUGGCGAAGGCGCCACUACUGGGUACGAUACUGACGCGAGGACACGA